rnacentral:rRNA from 1 species
AUGGCCAAGAAGCCGAAGCUCUUCUCCGCCCUGCUCUCCUUCCUCCUCCACGGGACUAGGCCUCCGAUCUCCAGCCGGGUCACUGCCACCGCCAUGACUGAAUCGUCACCGCACCCUUCCUCGCUGCACCACCUCGGCAGAUCCUCACAUCCUCCCAUGGCAGAGAAGAUCGCCGCCGGGCGAACCCUCGUCCUCGACGUGGACGCCGCGCUCCUCAUCCCGUCGUCGUCAUCCCUCUUCCCCUACUUUAUGCUCGUGGCUCUCGAGGCUGGAGGAUACGUACGAGGCCUCGUACUCCUCCUCCUCUACCCAAUCAUCUUAGGCAUGGGCCGCGCCAGCGAUGUGGCAGUGAGGGUGAUGGCCAUGGUGGCCUUCUGCGGGCUGCGCGCGAGCCGGUUCCGUGCCGGCCGCGCCGUGCUACCCAAGUGGUUCAUGGAGGACGUGGUGGUUGAAGGGUUCGAGGCCAUGAGGAUGAGCGGCGCCGCUGGCGGGCGGAGAGUGUGCGUGACGAGGCGGUUGCCGAGAGUGAUGGUGGAGGGGCUCCUGAGGGAUUACCUCGGCGCCGAGGCUGUAGUCGGAAAGGAGAUGAAGGUGCUGUGGGGGUUCUACACUGGACUAAUGGAGGAAGAAGGCGAGGUGGUGUUGGAAGAGGAGAAGAAGAUCAUGGCGGAGGGUGAUGAUGCUCUGGGAUUCUGCGGGUCGUUAGAGUUUCUCUUGCAUCCUAUUCCACGUUCUUGCAAGGAUAUCUACCUCGCGACAAGAGACGACAGGGCCACGUGGCAGGCGCCGCCGAGGAGCAAGUACCCCAAGGCCGUGGUGUUCCAUGACGGCCGUCUCGCGUUCCGGCCAACCGCUGGCAGCACGCUCGCCAUGUUCAUGUGGCUGCCCUUCGGCGUUGCACUUGCCUCCGUCCGCCUCACCGUCGCGCUCACCGUGCCAUAUCGAUAUUCCACGCCGAUCCUGGCGGCCACCGGCUUGUCAUGGCGGCUCAAGGCCGGCGAUGGGCCACCGCUGCAGACCGCUGGCGUCGAGCGAGGUUGCCGGCGCGGGCAGCUGUUUGUGUGCAACCACCGCACCCUCCUCGACCCGGUGUACGUGUCAGUGGCGCUGGACCGACCGGUGCGCGCCGUGUCGUAUAGCCUCAGCCGGCUCUCGGAGCUCAUCUCACCAAUCGGCCGCACCGUGCGGCUGACACGAGACCGCGACGCCGACGGACGUGCCAUGGCCCGACUCCUGGAGAUGGGGGACCUCGUCUUCGUCUGCCCCGAGGGCACCACCUGCCGCGAGCCGUACCUGCUCCGGUUCAGUCCACUUUUCGCGGAGCUCAGCGACGACGUGGUCCCCGUGGGUGUCGCCGUCGAGAUGGCCAUGUUCUACCCCACCACGGCGGGGGGGGCUCAAGUGCCUCGACCCGUUCUUCUACAUGGUCAACCCGAGGAUGUGCUACACGGUGCAGUUCCUGGAGCGGGUGCGCACGGCGGUGGUCAGGGAGGGGAAGGUGCCGAGCGCCGACAUGGCCAAUCUCGUGCAGAAGAAGAUUGGAGAUGCGCUCGGAUACAGCUGCACUAUGCUCACCAGGAAGGACAAGUACCUCAUGCUGGCCGGCAAGGACGGCGUCGUCCGCAAAGUAGACGGCAAGUGCUCGUCUCCUCCAGCGGGGAGGACGAACAACUGAUGAUGAAUCAUAUCUACACCUGUCUAUUUUGUCCUUACAGUUACUCGUCAUGGAUGAAAGUCGUUGCACACAGUUUUUCUUUGUACUAG